rnacentral:lncRNA from 1 species
UCCACUUGUUAAGCACUAUAGCCUUAGGGAAGUUAUGCCCCAGAAGACUCAGCUUCCCUGCUUUGUAAUGGGAUAAUAAGAAUGCCUCCCUUGGCCAGGCUCAAUGACUCAUGCCUGUAAUUCCAGCACUUUGGGAGGCCUAGGCAGGCAAAUCACUUGAGGUCAGGAGUUUGAGACCAGCCUGGCCAACAUGGUGAAACCCCGUCUCUACUAAAAAUACAAAAAUUUCCUGGGAUUGGUAGUGGGCACCUGUAAUCCUAACUACUCAGGAGGCUGAGGCAGGAGAAUCACUUCAACCCAGGAGGCAGAGGUUGCAGUGAGCUGAGAUCAUGCCACUGCACUCCAUCCUGGGUGACAGAGCGAGGCUCCAUCUCAAAAAGAAAAAAAAGAAAAAGAAUACCUGCCUUCUGGAGGAGUCACAAGAAUUAAAUACAUUUUUAUAUGAAUUAGUAAAGUGUUAAGAGCUUGGGCAUGGAGUCAAGCACAGGGGUUCAAAUUCCAUUGCUUCUUAAAAGCAUAACCUUCAGUGAGUUACUUCCACUGUUUAAUCAUCACACAACCACCCAUUUGCAUAAAUGGAGCUCUAUGAUCUGGGUUUUUGGAAGAAUUCCAAGUAGUAGUCUUGAUUUUGAUUAAUGUUAUAAUUUAUCCUGUUAGAGAAGUACCUCAUAAAUACUCAUGAAGCAUUUUAUUAGAUGAUUGUAAAUACUUAAAAUCUUAUUUUGCAGUCCUUUUUAUCACAAAGAAAAAGAGGAGCAGGCUGUGAGCAGUAUAUCAUUUAGCCUUGUUCGUUGACGGCAAAAGUC